ACGAACGCUGGCGGCGUGCUUAACACAUGCCAGUCGAACGGAAAGGCCCUGCUUUUGUGGGGUGCUCGAGUGGCGAACGGGUGAGUAACACGUGAGUAACCUGCCCUUGACUUUGGGAUAACUUCAGGAAACUGGGGCUAAUACCGGAUAGGAGCUCCUGCUGCAUGGUGGGGGUUGGAAAGUUUCGGCGGUUGGGGAUGGACUCGCGGCUUAUCAGCUUGUUGGUGGGGUAGUGGCUUACCAAGGCUUUGACGGGUAACCGGCCUGAGAGGGUGACCGGCCACAUUGGGACUGAGAUACGGCCCAGACUCCUACGGGAGGCAGCAGUGGGGAAUAUUGCACAAUGGGCGGAAGCCUGAUGCAGCAACGCCGCGUGCGGGAUGACGGCCUUCGGGUUGUAAACCGCUUUCGCCUGUGACGAAGCGUGAGUGACGGUAAUGGGUAAAGAAGCACCGGCUAACUACGUG
rnacentral:rRNA from 1 species